UAGCUAUACGCAAUAUUCAUUGUAGUAGUAGCAAUGAUAUUUUGCAAAUAUCUCGGAAAUCAAGGCCGAGCGACGGUUAUAUGUAUAGGAAAAAGUUAUUCACAAUGUUGAUUUCUACAACAUAUUGAAAAAUCAUCGAAAUCGGAGAGGAUGUACCUGUUCUCUAUAAUUACCGUACUUUUAUCUAAUAUGAAAUUACCAUUUUAUUAUACGCUCAGCUUCCAAUUUACUUUCUUCUCGGGACGGCAUUCUAAUCAUUUUUAAACUGGUUCAAUUGUAUCGGGGCACUGAACUCUCCACGUCUCGCGUGGUCUAUAAUUAGAAUUAGCUUGUAAUAAUGAAUGAAAAUAUUCUAUAUGAUCAUCUGUUAACCAUUCCCCUUCAAUUAUAAUUUGCAUAUUAUUAAAAUUGAGCGUAUACUCGAAACGCGGCGCAAUGCAGUCUAUCGAGUGGUGUUAUAAGAUAUAAGAUAAGGCAUAUGACACAAGCGUUCUAAUGUGUUUUUAAUGAACUUUAUUUUUUAUAAUACGCUAUACUCGAAA